rnacentral:rRNA from 1 species
UAGUCUGGUGCCAGCAGCCGCGGUAAUUCCAGCUCCAAUAGCGUAUAUUAAAGUUGUUGCAGUUAAAACGCUCGUAGUCGGAUUUCGGGGCAGGUUUGCCGGUCUGCCGAUGGGUAUGCACUGGUAGAACUGUCCUUCCUUCCGGAGACGGCGCCUACUCUUAACUGAGCGGGUGUCGGAGACGGAUCGUUUACUUUGAAAAAAUCAGAGUGUUUCAAGCAGGCAGCUCGCUUUUGCAUGGAUUAGCAUGGGAUAAUGAAAUAGGACUUUGGUGCUAUUUUGUUGGUUUCGAACACCGAAGUAAUGAUUAACAGGGACAGUCAGGGGCACUCGUAUUCCGCCGAGAGAGGUGAAAUUCUUAGACCAGCGGAAGACGAACCACUGCGAAAGCAUUUGCCAGGGAUGUUUUCACUGAUCAAGAACGAAAGUUAGGGGAUCGAAGACAAUCAGAUACCGUCGUAGUCUUAACCAUAAACCAUGCCGACUAGGGAUUGGAGGAUGUUCCUAUGUGACUCCUUCAGCACCUUUCGGGAAACUAAAGUCUUUGGGUUCCGGGGGGAGUAUGGUCGCAAGGCUGAAACUUAAAGGAAUUGACGGAAGGGCACCACCAGGAGUGGAGCCUGCGGCUUAAUUUGACUCAACACGGGGAAACUUACCAGGUCCAGACAUUGUGAGGAUUGACAGAUUGAGAGCUCUUUCUUGAUUCGAUGGGUGGUGGUGCAUGGCCGUUCUU